rnacentral:tRNA from 1 species
GGACUUUUAAUCCGCUGGUCGUUGGUUCGAUUCCAACACGGCCCA